rnacentral:lncRNA from 1 species
UAUUUUCGUGACAUUCACGGUUGUCCAAGUUUCCUCAGCUUAUAAUACCAUACUCGGACGAUCUGAUUUGAAUGCUUUGAAAGCAAUAGUCUCGACUUAUCAUCUAUUAGUCCGAUUCUUGAUAAAAAAUGGAGUUGGAGAGAUGCGUGGAGAUCAACAACUUGUCUGACGCUGCUUUCUAGUUUCCACACAAAAUAAUCAACCUGA